rnacentral:rRNA from 1 species
GCUGCCCUCUUUCUUCGUGCCUAAUACAUGCAAGUCGAGCGAACAGAUAAGGAGCUUGCUCCUUUGACGUUAGCGGCGGACGGGUGAGUAACACGUGGGUAACCUACCUAUAAGACUGGAAUAACUCCGGGAAACCGGGGCUAAUGCAGGAUAACAUGUUGAACCGCAUGGUUCUACAGUGAAAGGCGGCUUUGCUGUCACUAAUAGAUGGACCCGCGCCGUAUUAGCUAGUUGGUGAGGUAACGGCUCACCAAGGCAACGAUACGUAGCCGACCUGAGAGGGUGAUCAGCCACACUGGAACUAAGACACGGUCCAGACUCCUACGGGAGGCAGCAGUAGGGAAUCUUCCGCAAUGGGCGAAAGCCGGACGGAGCAACACCGCGUGAGUGAUGAAGGUCGUCGGGUCGUAAAACUCUGUUAUUAGGGAAGAAAAAAUGCAUAAGUAACUGUGCGCGUUUUGACGGUACCUAAUCAGAAAGCCACGGCUAACUACGUG